UACGUAGGGUCCGAGCGUUGUCCGGAAUUAUUGGGCGUAAAGCGCACGUAGGCGGAUUGUUAAGUCAGGGGUGAAAUCCUGGAGCUCAACUCCAGAACUGCCUUUGAUACUGGCGAUCUCGAGUCCGGGAGAGGUGAGUGAACUGCGAGUGUAGAGGUGAAAUUCGUAGAUAUUCGCAAGAACACCAGUGGCGAAGGCGGCUCACUGGCCCGAUACUGACGCUGAGGCACGAAAGCGUGGGAGCAAACAGG
rnacentral:rRNA from 1 species